AUUGAACGCUGGCGGAAUGCUUUACACAUGCAAGUCGAACGGCAGCACGGGGGCAGCCCUGGUGGCGAGUGGCGAACGGGUGAGUAAUACAUCGGAACGUGCCCGGUCGUGGGGGAUAACGUAGCGAAAGUUACGCUAAUACCGCAUACGAUCUGAGGAUGAAAGCGGGGGACCUUCGGGCCUCGCGCGAUCGGAGCGGCCGAUGUCAGAUUAGGUAGUUGGUGGGGUAAAGGCCUACCAAGCCGACGAUCUGUAGCUGGUCUGAGAGGACGACCAGCCACACUGGGACUGAGACACGGCCCAGACUCCUACGGGAGGCAGCAGUGGGGAAUUUUGGACAAUAGGCGCAAGCCUGAUCCAGCCAUUCCGCGUGCAGGACGAAGGCCUUCGGGUUGUAAACUGCUUUUGUACGGAACGAAAAGGCUCUGGCUAAUACCUGGGGCUCAUGACGGUACCGUAAGAAUAAGCACCGGCUAACUACGUGC
rnacentral:rRNA from 1 species